UCCGUAAGGCUGCGCGUGCUAUACAUGCAGUUGAGCGCUGAAGGUUGGUACUUGUACCAACUGGAUGAGCAGCGAACGGGUGAGUAACGCGUGGGGAAUCUGCCUUUGAGCGGGGGACAACAUUUGGAAACGAAUGCUAAUACCGCAUAAAAACUUUAAACACAAGUUUUAAGUUUGAAAGAUGCAAUUGCAUCACUCAAAGAUGAUCCCGCGUUGUAUUAGCUAGUUGGUGAGGUAAAGGCUCACCAAGGCGAUGAUACAUAGCCGACCUGAGAGGGUGAUCGGCCACAUUGGGACUGAGACACGGCCCAAACUCCUACGGGAGGCAGCAGUAGGGAAUCUUCGGCAAUGGACGAAAGUCUGACCGAGCAACGCCGCGUGAGUGAAGAAGGUUUUCGGAUCGUAAAACUCUGUUGGUAGAGAAGAACGUUGGUGAGAGUGGAAAGCUCAUCAAGUGACGGUAACUACCCAGAAAGGGACGGCUAACUACGUGCCAGCAGCCGCGGUAAUACGUAGGUCCCGAGCGUUGUCCGGAUUUAUUGGGCGUAAAGCGAGCGCAGGUGGUUUAUUAAGUCUGGUGUAAAAGGCAGUGGCUCAACCAUUGUAUGCAUUGGAAACUGGUAGACUUGAGUGCAGGAGAGGAGAGUGGAAUUCCAUGUGUAGCGGUGAAAUGCGUAGAUAUAUGGAGGAACACCGGUGGCGAAAGCGGCUCUCUGGCCUGUAACUGACACUGAGGCUCGAAAGCGUGGGGAGCAAACAGGAUUAGAUACCCUGGUAGUCCACGCCGUAAACGAUGAGUG
rnacentral:rRNA from 1 species